AAAGUAUCGAGAACGACGACGACGACGACGAGGCACGAACGCGCGGGCAAAACGAAAAUGGCUAAAACACGACUUCGGUGUCCGUUUGCGGAGAUACUAGCCGGCGUCAACUUACAACAGGAAAAAAAAUGUCGUGCGACCUAGGCCAACGUGAGGAACUGUCGUUGGGAAAGAGUCGUCCAAAAGUACGGGGGAACGUGGUUCGAAAGCAAAUGAACGAGGUUAGGAAAUUUUAUGGAGGCUUCGUGAUGCACAAAAUUGAGACGGCGGUACGGCACGAGCCUCAUUUAGCUCCCGGAUAAUAAUAGGCGACAGCAGCUGCCGGAAGCUGCCAAUUCGCGGCGUGGAGCUCGAUCAGCUGGAGCAGGGUCUUACGAACAGCCGGGAUCGAAGUGUCCUCCGCGAGAAAAGCGUCCCGCACGCUGCCCAAAAGCUGCUGCAAUUGAAUCGGCAACUCCGUGUCCAAAUCCUUGCCGAUGCAGGACCAACCUGACAAUACAUUUCGUUGAGGAAUGUCAUAAAAGCUGCAAAACGGUGACACGCCGACGCGUCGUGGAGCGAUCUGCUGUGGUCCUGGUACCAUUCCUGACACGUGUUGAGCAGGGACUCGAGAAACGUUUCCUUGACUUCUUUCUGCGUGGAAAAAAGGGCACCGAAUGAAUAAGAGAAGAUGAUUUUUCACGCGAGGAGUAAAGAUGAAGACGACAGUGUCGCUUACUUCUAUAAUUGUUAUGCAAAUUUUGGCAGCCGACUCGGCGUAACGACGGUUUUCGAUGAUUCUUUCCAGGAUGUGCCUCACCAGCUCCAUUAAGGUUCGAGCAUUGAGAAGAUUCGGAUCUUUCGACGGGGUUCACAUUAUAAAUGGAUAAAAAUUAGCAUUUUAUUGGCGAUAAACGUCUCGCCUUAAUUGCUGGCGAUCUGCACUCUUCUUAUUUAAUCUCACCAUCUAUCGCCUUAAUUAGAGUGUCCUGUACGACCGCGGGGAAUCUACCGAGUUCCGCGGCUUCGGAUAUGUUCUUGGCCUUCGCAGCGAGAACGUCGUUCGACGUCAGGCUCUUCGAACGCUUCAGACCGUACGAUGACACGAAGGACAACGAUUUCGUGAGCUUUCCCGGCUUCGCUCCAUUCGGGUUUAAUCGCGAUACGUCGUUUUGCUCCACGCUAAAAUGCACGCGUCCGGAUCCCUUUAAGAUUGAGAGAGAAAAAAAAUCGUCAGGAGAAA
rnacentral:lncRNA from 1 species